rnacentral:lncRNA from 1 species
UACUCAUCUGGACAAAUGUAUGUGCACUUAAUGUGUGUUUUAUCAUACUCUGUCUUUAGUUCUUUAACUUGUAUCUCAUAAAGGUGUGUGUUUGCUUUAGCUACUUAAAAAAUUAAAAUCUCUCUUUCUAAACUUGUAUAAACUAAAAACACUCAUCUCUUUCUCUCUUCAGGGGAAGAAAUAAUAUCUAUACAGAGAGGUUGCAACUUACCUGCGCUUAACAGAUGCACCUCCUGCUGUUCCCUAUUUCACUGUCCUUUCUGUACUUCUGAUUUUUUCAAGCCCUCAAAGAAAAAUAAAGUACAAACUCAUCUUCAGCUUCACUUUUCUAGGGCAGUCGUCCAUGAAGUUUCUGUUAGCUUGACAUGCCUGCAAUCAGGGAGUGGUGGUGUCUACGUCUAACUGAGCGGUUUGAGACAGAGGGGUAUAUGUAUUAGUUUCUUUACAUCUCAGUUUGGUGUUUCAUUCUUUGUUCCUUCCUUGUCAGUAGAAAUAAUUGACCAAACUGAGGCAUUACAGGUCACUAAAUUAUUUAUACAUUAUACAUUAAUUACAUGUAAUUAUUAAUUAUACAUUAAAUUAUCAAUGCCACCUGUUUAUUGUCCACAACAAGAGGUGUCCUAUUGGGGGCCACCAAAGUAGAUUUUUUUUUUUUAAAGGCAUGGGAAAAGGUUCGCCCACUGGACUGAGGAGGCAAGAUACCUGACUGAAGGGACAUUAUGACCUCUUUACAGGAGUUUUCCAGGAUUAACACAUGACUUGCCACAACAUGUUGUUGCAGAGAGGAACCGAAUGUUGUCCAACCAGGCUCUGGUGGACUUCAUUGUAGCAAGAGGAACCGAAAACCACAUUCAGGUACAUGCAUCAAGAAUGCAUUUUUUUAACUGCAUUCUAAACCAAUAGCUUGUCUAGUAAAUAAACAACUUACACUUACAUGGAAAUGUUUUUAAUGUAAUUUUCAAUUUUCUCUGCACAGUCCAUCAUCAAUGGACAAAAAAAAUCAAAGUGGCUUGACACUUUUUCCAAGUGUUCCAUCAAGAAAGUGCCUGUGCCGUCGUUCACUGACGAUCAGGAGCAAAUUGAUGUUAUCUACACUCACCUGACUUCAGUUCUGGACAGCACACACACACACCCACAGUGACCAGAUCAGAUUCAUUAUGGAUGUCCUUUUUCCAGAGGUAGGUCUUGUGUGUUAGUUGUGCUCUGCAUGCUGUCAUAUUCACAUUGUUUUUAAUGUCAAAUAGUUUAUCCAUAAUGUUAGACCAUUGCUCUAAAAAUAAUAGUUUUGUGCUUAAUAUAGAAAAGGCACUUUUGAUUUUGUUAGAAAAAAAAAAACAUGCAAAAUGAUGCUUGGCUUAUCUGAGCUGUGAUAAAUCUCAGCUCCUGCUGUUGUGGAACAUGUGUCCAUCUUGGAGGCUGAGGAGAAUUCCUGCGAGGACCUGUCAUUGACGCAAGGUACUGUAAG